GACAGAGGUGCCGAGCGUUAGGCGGAAUCACUGGGCUUAAAGCGCGUGUAGGCGGGUCGUUAAGUGCCUCGUGAAAUCCCACGGCUCAACCGUGGAACCGCGGGGCAUACUGGCGAUCUUGAGAGACCCAGGGGCGAGCGGAACAAGUGGUGGAGCGGUGAAAUGCGUAGAUAUCUGGAGGAAUACCGGUGGCGAAGGCGGCAUCCUGGACCAGCAUUGACGCUGAUGAGCGAAAGCUAGGGGAGCAAACGGG
rnacentral:rRNA from 1 species